CCCUUAGAUGUUCUGGGCCGCACGCGUGCUACACUGAGUGGAUCAGCGGGUCAGGUUGCGCGAAAGCGUUUCCUAAUCUUUAAAUCCGCUCGUGAUGGGGAUUGACGGUUGCAAUUUUCUGUCAUGAACGAGGAAUACCUUGUAAGCGCGGGUCAUCAUCCCGCGCUGAAUACGUCCCUGCCCUUUGUACACACCGCCCGUCGUUCCUACCGAUUGAGUGGUCCGGUGAGGCUUUGGGAUCUGAGCGGAAAGAGCGUUUCGCUGUUUCUGCUCGGAAAACUCAGUCGAACCUUAUCAUUUAGAGGAAGGAGAAGUCGUAACA
rnacentral:rRNA from 1 species